CAGCAAGAAAACCAAGUGAAGCAGAGGGCUGCCGUCAUGCGGAAGUGCAGACCUGAAGCUACAUUUGAGUGUUUGAUUCAUGUCAAUACACCAAAUAAAACCUAAGAUAUGAUAAUUUCAAUUUCAUGAAAAAAGUGCUUAAAAAAAUGCGCUCUUUUAUGCGGGCUUUGCAUUUAUUAUAAUAUCCUUGUCGUCUUUGGUCAUAAAACGGAACGGAAUAAAACGGGUGAUUCUGCGGACUCAUCUAGGAUGCAGAAUUUAAUGAGACGAGAAAAAGCCGUCUAAAACAAAGUGGAUUAGGGUAAUUAUUACUAGUUCUUGGAGUAUUUUGAGUAGUUUUGGGGAUAUUUUGAUUAUUUUAGCAAUACAUUUGGACUUAUGUGGAGGAAAAUGAGGCCGACACGAUGUCCAACAUGCCGUCGACUUGUUAUUUCAACAUAGAGACGAAUAAAGAAUGCGCCCUCGACUACCCAGAUUUAGUUGUUGACAACGAGAGAAUAAAGAGCCAUUGCCACGGAGGUCAAAGAGAGAUUCCUAUAUGAGCCAAGGAUGACAUCAAGUGGAGAAAAAAAGUUACCUCACCCCAAAAAAAAUUGAUUACCAACACCAGAUGGUCGGAAUGUCUUCUGUCUCCUGAACAGGAAACUGAAACCAUGAACAUGGUCCCAGAAAAUAACGCCAUAACAUUACGGCAAAUACAAAGAAAAAAAAUAAUUAUGUAACUGUAUACAGUAAAUUCUUCUGUUUUGUAUGCAGACCACUGUGCAACUUUGUGUUGGUUGGGAUGUACACUGUGAACAUUGUUUUUGUGGGAAAAAUUUUAUAUAUUUGUUACCGUGUAUUUGUGUGUUCUGGGUAUAAAAACAAUAUUCCCAAAUAAUUUACAACUCACUUAAGAAUGUACUGUCUGUAGUAAGUGUAAUACUGAACAAAAAAAGGCGUAAAUCAUUAUGAUGAAUGGAGAAGUGUUUUCCAGUCAUCGUAUGUUUACAUUGACACAUCAGUGUUCAACUGGUUCUUAUAUGUAUAUUAAUAUGAUGGUUUGUGUUUGUCAUUUGAAAACAAAAUAAAAUGUAGAGAAGAACAUUUUGAAUGUACAGUUUCAUUUUGCAGGAGAAAUUAUGGGUUUUGCCCAUUGUGUUUGUGUGUUUUAUUUGUUUGUAGAGUUCUGAGAGUACGAGUGCAUGCUUUCAGAAAAUGUGUGUAACCAAUCGAGAAAAACUGUAAUAGCCUAAUGCUUUUGGAAAAUACAUAAUUCACAGAACAGACUCGUAUUUUUAUUUAGGAAAAUAGCCUAUAGGAUAAUUGAACAUCCACGUUAAAACGUGUCUGUAAAAUGGGGUAGCUAAACCCUCUACUGUGGGGGCAUCCGGGAAUAAUUGGACACGUUAUAAUUGGUUAUGUGCUGUAAAUGUCUUAUUAGGCUACCAAAAGUGUUGAUGUGUACGAAUAAAAAAAUCAAUUCACACUUGCUGAUUAUGCCUAUUUUAUGAUGAUUUACAGAUUCACUUUACAAAUGCAUUUAAACAAAUGAUCAGCAAUUA